GAUGAAUGCUGGCGGCGUGCCUAACACAUGCAAGUCGAGCGGUAACAGGAGUAGUUUACUACUUGCUGACGAGCGGCGGACGGCUGAGUAACGCGUGGGAACGUGCCCCAAAGUGAGGAAUAACUGCCCGAAAGGGUAGCUAAUACCGCAUAUGAUCUUCGGAUUAAGGGAUUUAUCCGCUUUGGGAGCGGCCCGCGUCGGAUUAGGUAGUUGGUGAGGUAAUGGCUCACCAAGCCCACGAUCCGUAGCUGGUCUGAGAGGAUGAUCAGCCAGACUGGGACUGAGACACGGUCCAGACUCCUACGGGAGGCAGCAGUGAGGAAUCUUCCACAAUGGGCGAAAGCCUGAUGGAGCAACGCCGCGUGCAGGAUGAAGGCCUUCGGGUCGUAAACUGCUUUUAUAAGUGAAGAAUAUGACGGUAGCUUAUGAAUAAGCACCGGCUAACUACGUGCCAGCAGCCGCCGUAACA
rnacentral:rRNA from 1 species